rnacentral:rRNA from 1 species
AUACGGAGGAUCCGAGCGUUAUCCGGAUUUAUUGGGUUUAAAGGGAGCGUAGGUGGACAGUUAAGUCAGUUGUGAAAGUUUGCGGCUCAACCGUAAAAUUGCAGUUGAUACUGGUUGUCUUGAGUACAGUAGAGGUGGGCGGAAUUCGUGGGGUAGCGGUGAAAUGCUUAGAUAUCACGAAGAACUCCGAUUGCGAAGGCAGCUCACUGGACUGCAACUGACACUGAUGCUCGAAAGUGUGGGUAUCAAACAGGAUUAGAUACCCUGGUAGUCCACACAGUAAACGAUGAAUACUCGCUGUUUGCGAUAUACAGUAAGCGGCCAAGCGAAAGCAUUAAGUAUUCCACCUGGGGAGUACGCCGGCAACGGUGAAACUCAAAUGAAUUGACGGGG